ACAGAGAACUGCAGAUAGUCGCUGCGGGUUUCUCGCAGAGGAAAGUCCGGACUCCUUCGGAAAUGAUGCUAGUUAAUUACUAGGCAGCGGCUCUCUGCAGUGCCGCUGACAGCAAGCGCCACAGAAAAUAUACCGCCUUUGGGUAAGGGUGAAAGGGCGAGGUAAGAGCUCACCGCGUUUUGGCGACAAAACGGCACGGCAAGCCUCAUCAGGAGCAAGAUCGAGCAGCAAAGGAUAUUCCGAUCCUGUUUUGCGGGUUGAUUGCAUAAAUUUAUAUAGCGAUAUAUAAAGUGAGACAGAUGAUUAUCCUUGACAGAAUCCGGCUUACCAGUUCUCUGUUUUU
rnacentral:RNase_P_RNA from 19 species